UUGACCUCGGAUCAGGUAGGAAUACCCGCUGAACUUAAGCAUAUCAAUAAGCGGAGGAAAAGAAACCAACAGGGAUUGCCUCAGUAACGGCGAGUGAAGCGGCAACAGCUCAAAUUUGAAAUCUGGCCCCCCGGCCCGAGUUGUAAUUUGCAGAGGAUGCUUCUGGCGCGGUGCCUUCCAAGUCCCCUGGAACGGGGCGCCAUAGAGGGUGAGAGCCCCGUCGGGUUGGCCGCCAAGCCUGUGUGAAGCUCCUUCGACGAGUCGAGUAGUUUGGGAAUGCUGCUCUAAACGGGAGGUAGACCCCUUCUAAAGCUAAAUACCGGCCAGAGACCGAUAGCGCACAAGUAGAGUGAUCGAAAGAUGAAAAGCACUUUGAAAAGAGGGUUAAACAGUACGUGAAAUUGUUGAAAGGGAAGCGCUUGUGACCAGACGUGCGCCGGGUGUUCAGCGGGCGUUUUCGCCCGUGCAUUCGCCCCGGCGCAGGCCAGCGUCGGUUUGGGCGGGGGGAUAAAGGUGCCAGGAACGUAUCUCCCCCGGGAGUGUUAUAGCCUGGUGCGUCAUGCCCCCGCCCGGACCGAGGUUCGCGCUCCGCAAGGACGCUGGCGUAAUGGUCCCCAGCGGCCCGUCUUGAAACACGGACCAAGGAGUCGAGGUUUUACGCGAGUGUCUGGGUGUCAAACCCGCACGCGUAAUGAAAGUGAACGUAGGUGGGAGCUUCGGCGCACCACCGACCGAUCCUGAUGUUUUCGGAUGGAUUUGAGUAGGAGCGUAGGGCCUCGGACCCGAAAGAUGGUGAACUAUACUUGGAUAGGGUGAAGCCAGAGGAAACUCUGGUGGAGGCUCGCAGCGGUUCUGACGUGCAAAUCGAUCGUCAAAUCUGAGUAUGGGGGCGAAAGACUAAUCGAACCAUCUAGUAGCUGGUUACCGCCGAAGUUUCCCUCAGGAUAGCAGUGUUGGUCUCAGUUUUAUGAGGUAAAGCGAAUGAUUAGGGACUCGGGGGCGCUAUAUUGCCUUCAUCCAUUCUCAAACUUUAAAUAUGUAAGAAGCCCUUGUUGCUUAAUUGAACGUGGGCCUUCGAAUGCAGCAACACUAGUGGGCCAUUUUUGGUAAGCAGAACUGGCGAUGUGGGAUGAACCAUACGGGGGGUUAAGGUGCCGGAGUGGACGCUCAUCAGACACCACAAAAGGCGUUAGCACAUCUUGACAGCAGGACGGUGGCCAUGGAAGUCGGAAUCCGCUAAGGACUGUGUAACAACUCACCUGCCGAAUGUGCUAGCCCUGAAAAUGGAUG
rnacentral:rRNA from 1 species